GACGAACCGAGCGAACGUUAUUCGGAAUCAUCUGGGCGUUAAAGGGCGCGUGAGGCGGGCUGACCAAGUCAAGGGUGAAAGCCCCCGGCGUCAAACCCGGGGGAAGUGCCCUCUGAUACUGGCGGCCUCGAGGGAGGUGAGGGGGCGGUGCGGAACUUCCGGUGGAGCGGUGAAAUGCGUAGAUAUCGGAAGGAAUACCGGUGGCGAAGCGGCGCGCUGGACCU
rnacentral:rRNA from 1 species